GACUCUGGGAAAUUCAGGGAGAUAUAACGGAGAACGAUCGAAGGACCGAUGUCUUUCUCGGGUCAGUGCAGUCUUAUAAGUUUGUUUCAGAGCAGUGCUUAUAACAGAGUCCAGAAUGCCGGUUCCAUCCGGAUGCUUUAAUCUUUCCAGUCAUAAGUAUUCCAGUUGCUCUGAACCGACACAUCGUGUAGUUUACCGGGCAAGUCUUCCAUUCCAUAAUCUAAAGAACCGUGACUAAGUUUCCGGGUAGAAGUAAGCUAACGCGACGAUAAGAUUCCCGAUCUCCCUCUCACUUGAAGGACCAUUAUAUAUGGAUUGAAGUUGUUCUUGAGGUCAAUAGACCCGAAUCUUCCUACUCAGAACGUGCUGCCUUUGCCGAUACCUGCUAGAUUAAUUGAUUCUCCGUCGUCAACCGAGACCAUUCGUGACAGUCAAACUGUUGACGGUGAGACUCAGUCAAAGACGCGUGAUAUUCCAGCCCUCCUACACUAUUUCUUAGAGAGAGACUUAUCAAAAGGUGAUUGCACCCACAUAGACUUAGAGACCAAGAUAGUUCCUUUAAAUAGGUUAUGAGAAGAGGUUCUACCGUGUCAAUUAAUUAGUAUAGCACAAAAAGGUUACUUCCAUUGUUAUAUAAACAUCUUUCAAUUUAGGAAGGU